rnacentral:rRNA from 1 species
AACGAACGCUGGCGGCAGGCUUAACACAUGCAAGUCGAGCGCCCCGCAAGGGGAGCGGCAGACGGGUGAGUAACGCGUGGGAACGUACCCUUUGCUACGGAAUAGCUCCGGGAAACUGGAAUUAAUACCGUAUGUGCCCUACGGGGGAAAGAUUUAUCGGCAAAGGAUCGGCCCGCGUUGGAUUAGCUAGUUGGUGGGAUAAUGGCCUACCAAGGCGACGAUCCAUAGCUGGUCUGGGAGGAUGAUCAGCCACAUUGGGACUGAGACACGGCCCAAACUCCUACGGGAGGCAGCUGUGGGGAAUAUUGGACAAUGGGGGCAACCCUGAUCCAGCAAUGCCGCGUGAGUGAUGAAGGCCUUAGGGUUGUAAAGCUCUUUUACCCGGGAAGAUAAUGACUGUACCGGGAGAAUAAGCCCCGGCUAACUCCGUGCCAGCCGCCGCGGUAACAC